UGGACAACACAAAGAUAACCGCGAAGUC
rnacentral:sRNA from 1 species